CAAAAUCUCACAGCCUUCAUUCAACACUCUGCUAGAAAACCCUAAUCAACAAAUCUGCAACAAAACCCCAUUUUCUCUUCAUCUCUUUCUAGAAGCACUUAAGUUAAAAGCCACUUCUCCAACUUUCAGCUUGGAAGUAAGCAGCUGAUCAGCUGAGCAGGAAAUUAAGAAAGCCUUUUUGUUUGAUCAAUAAUUGCAAUGGCAAAGCAGAUGCAGAUGAGAUUGUUGUGUUCUUGGAUGGAGGCUGCACCUGCAGUUUUGAUAUCCCACAACAAGACUUCAACUUGUCCUGAACUAGAGACAAUAACUGAAGAGUGGGAGCUGGAGGCUGAAGAGAAAGACCUGCAGGAGUCCAAAAAAUGAAAAUUUUCUUCUUCUCAUGUCCUGAUUGUUAAUUUACAUAUACAUAUAUAUACAUAUAUAUAUGUAUGUAUAUGUAUAUGUUUUUUUUCAAGUUUUUGUGUGAACUUGUAGAAGUUUUGGGACUUGGGUUGAAUUAUAGGACCCUAAAGUUUUGAGGUUAUGUCCAAACAAAUGAACAGAAUGUAUAGUUUCAAUGGCUUCCGUUCCAUCUUAUAUCUUAUGGAGGAAAAAAAGAUGCCUUUGUAUGUCUAGUUGAUGUAAUUUUAGGGCUAGAUUUUUGGAAGGAUUUCAUUUUUUUGGACGUUAUAACUGAUUAUUCAUCAAAAAUGUUGAUUUCUGCAAUGCUGUUGAAACCAAAGAGAUGUUAAACCUUCUUAAAGCACAAUCAUGACUCUCUCCCAUAGGUUCGUAGAGGAAUGAUGAACCAUAGAACAAGACACAUUCUGCAUAAUAUCUAACGGAUUUCUUGGUUCGGGCCGAAGAAGAGGAUGUAAAAGCGAGUAUGUUUGGCAUUAAUUGGGACAUUUAACACAUUAACAAUGAACUUGAAAAGGUCUGUCACAUGUUGAUCACCAUGCAAAACAACAUAAGAACAAUAUUAAAAUACUACAAUAACUCAUAUUAUUCAUAAGAAAAUGAGAAAAAAAUAAUCAUUUUAUUAUAAUAAUAGCUGAAUAGUAUUAAUCGCAUCAAUCAUGUACACAUCGCCCUCCAUGUUCGUACAUAUUUUGAAAGCAUAUAACAUGUCGUGCCUGAGACAGGCACCUAUUAUGCCGGUUAAACUGCACCUCUUAGGAGUAGUGAUAAUUUGCAAAGCUUAAAACAAGAACAUUGAGUGCUCAAUUAUGAGAGGUGAACUUCACACAAUGUCGCACAUGCUUUUUAAUUUCUAAUUAUCAGAUUGGAUAAUUAAAUAAAAUCCACGAAAUGAUUCAACAUAGUUGUAUAAGAAGCUAAUAAGGAUAUGUGUUUGUCAUUUCUCCUCAAGAGCCUUCAUAGUGGGAAUCUUUCUGAAAAAUAAAUAUCAUUGUUAGGCAUCUAAACCAUCAAUUAGAUCCACUUUAAAUAUCAUACCUUUCAAAAAUUAGUCCAAUAGAUAAUUGUCUAGCAAUCUAACUAAAAAGUUAUUAUUGACAUUCUAAAAUAGUAUUAUAGAUGUUGCUCUAGUGAAAUAAAUAAAUGAAAACUAAUGAAAAUGAUUUGAAAACUUUGAGUUUUAACGAUAAAGACAAAAUAAAGGGUAAAGUGAAUAGUACCAAGUUUGAAUUUUUAAUGUAAAAAUGUUGUUUUUUCGUUAAUGUGAAUAGUAUUGCGGGUUUUCCGUUCAAACUCUCAAUAAAUAAAGGAGGAAAAAGUACUUGAUAACCUUUUUUCUACUACCAUUAACAACUCUCUUUAAUUAUCAUUUUGAUUGUUUAGAAACACUAUGUUAAUUUGUUUACUUAAUUAAAAUUAGGUGAUGAAAAGAAUUUUGAUUCAAAUGAUUCUUUAGAUUAAUAUUUAAGUAGACCCACAAAUAAUGGACAUUUUAAACGUUUAGGGGAAGGAUAGGUGUCGAUGAAUUGAAGGCUAUGUGGACAUCAACUCAUUGCACCAACUUUUAAGACCGCACUGAUUUGAUAGUAUUUCAUUUAGUUAUAUUAUCAAACAGACAGACUAAAUGCUCACUUUUAACAACAUCAAUAAUAUCUUUAACUUGAUAAUUAUCAUCUGCACAAUCUAUUAGGUGUGAAAUUUUAUUAUAAAAAACCUCGAUAUUAGUUAGAGCGUGAUUAGGAUAUUUAAACUCUUCUUCUCUCAAAAAUGCAAUGAGUGUGGGAUAUUUCCACACGCUCCUUACGUGGAACCCCAAUUUGUGGGUCACAUAUAGGAGAUCUACACAUUGAUAACUACGUGGAGUCAAGAAAACUCACCCUACAUGCAAGGCCAAUGGUCCCACCAUCAUCGUGCUGGGCCAAGGGGAUUCACCAAUCACGUGGCAAUACAGGCCACUCCCUGGCUCUAAUAUCAUAUUAAAUUAUCAGAGAGGCGGGCCAAAAGCCUACUUCUAACAAUACCGAUAUUGUCUCCAACUUGGUAUUUACCACUUACACAAUCCGUUAGGUUUGAAGUUUUAUCAUAAAAAGUCUCAGUAUUAGUUAGAGUGGGGUUAAAAUAUUUAAACUCUUCUUCUCUCAUAAAUACGGUCGUUGUGAGAUAUUUGAACAGUAGAUUGGAUCUACACUUUACCUUUUUUCUAAAAAAAAAGUCUAUUAUUAUUAUGGAGAGGGAAAAGAAUUCGAAACUAUUAUAGCAAUUUAGGAGAGAGGAAUUUUUGAACCUGGAACUCAUGUGUAGAAACCCAAUACCCUAUACCCUAGGAUGUUAGACGGCAUGCAAGAUCUAUACUUUUUACCCUUUUUCACGACAAUUAAGAAAUUGUCAAUUCAAUUGGUAAUCGAAUGUUAUAGAAAUGUGACUUCUUGAACUAAUCAAUGAAUAGUAUUACAAAAUCAAUAUAUGGUUAUAAGUAAAAAAAUUUAUUGUGGAAAGAAAUCUUAUACAAAUUACAAGAAGUACUUGUUUUACAAGAAAUGGUAAGGUAGGUCUCGGCUGCUCCCAAGUCUCGAACCCGAGACCUACCGCUCAUGGGCGAAGGCACUUGCCAUCGCACCAAGUGCGACCUCUCCCAGACCCUGCGUAAAGCGGGAGCCUUGUGCACUGGGUACGACCAGCCACCGACGGAGUUUGAACCCACACUGUUAUGCAAAGGCUCAACACCUUUCCACCGUUGUGUGGUAAAGGGCCACUUGCAAAGAUGACCUUUUGUUCACAAACGAUUUAUCUUUCCUUAAGCCCUAACUCACCCAAUAAAAUCCCAGUGCAACUCAAAUUGAAAUCGUUUUGGUUUCACACUAUUUUCUACGUUUACUGCAAAUUAAUUCUCAUAAAAAUUGCGAAGAAGAAGACAAACCCCAAAAACCAAGCAACCUGAAUUUGCUUCUUCUCUACUUUCUCCCGCCACUCUCUGGUUCAAAUUUAAUGAUUUUGUUUUGGUUGGAUAUUUCAACAAUGGACAUCAAAAUGAAUUGAUAUGUAAUGUGGACUUGCUGCAUAUGUAUAGGUGCUGAUACUUCUGUACACAAGUGUGGAAGAACCGAGGAAGGAUAGUCUUUUGUAAAGGGUUUCGAGUUUGAUCAGUAGAAAAAAAUGGUGCAAAGUCUGUCACUGAGUGCUCUAAGAUUAUUUCUUCAUUGGUGCAAUAAUUUUAAAGACAAGCGCAGAGCAAGAGUGCUAAUGAGGAUACUUUAGGAAUAAAAGUGGGUGGGAAAAUAGAAUUUUAAUUUUUUUAACUUUUUAUGGUGGUUGGAAUUAUAAUGUGGAUGGACAAAUAGGACAAUGGAGUGGGUCUAGUAGUUCUCUAAGACCAUCUCCAACCCUUGGGCUAAAAGCCAAAUUUUUUAGCCCGGAAAAUUUAGCUUUUAGCUCAGAAACAGUUUUUUUACUCCAACCCUUCUGGCCUAAAAUUUUAGCCGGGAUUAUUGAAGAAUGAACUUAGGCUAAUUUUUUUCUUAAAUUAACUAAAAAAAAACAAAUUAUGUAGACUAUCGUAAAUUAAUUUGAUGAACGUUUUAAUCUAAAAAUAUUUAAAUUCCGAUAAAUAUUGAAAAAUCACUAAAUCGAUACAUGAAACUCAUGAAACACCAUGGAAGAAUAUGAAAAUCAUGAUAGAGAUGUAUAAACACAAAAUACAAAAAACACACAAGACACGCAAAACACAUGUGUAGCACAUACACAUGUGAAGGACAUACAAAACUUUCAACUUUCACCAAUCAUUCAACUUUCACCAAACUUUCAACUUUCACCAAUCUUUCAACUUUCACCAAUCUUUUAACUCAUCAAUCAUCCUCUAUAUAAGCACAAGUUGAAUAUCAGUUGAUCACACAAUCUUUCAACUUUCAAAGUGUUUUUGUUUCCCAAAAAUCCUCAAUAUCUCAUCAAUGGGUGAUAGAAUAAGGUGUAGCAGGGCAAUGCAGAUGGCACAAUACAAAGCAAGCCUUGACAUUGAGGAUACAUAAAUGUUCAACGCAGAAGCUGAACUUGCAAACUCGCUUAGGCAAUAUGAGCACCAUGUCGAAUCUAGCUAUCAUGGUUCUGUCACGGGGCAUUCAUUUGUGCAGCGUGAUAGAAAAGAGUGUCAUGACCGAAUGAUGAAAUAUUAUUUUAUCGAGCGUCCGAGAUUUCAUGCUCAUGAUUUUCGGAGGCGGUUUCGGAUGAGGAGAGAGCUUUUUGAUAGCAUAUUGAACACAUUUGUCAAUCAUGACCACUACUUUGCAAGGAAGAUAGAUGUCGUCGGCCGACAAAGUCUAUCACAUCAUCAGAAACUCAUAUCUGCAUUUCAGAUGCUAGCUAAUAGAUGCUCUGCAGACUUAACUGAUGAUGCUAUUGAGAACCUGAACCACUUUCGUCAAGCAAUUCAAGCCAUAUAUGGAGCCACAUACCUCCGUAAGCUAAAUAGUGAAGACUUGAAGAGGCUUCUACGCAAGGCAGGCAAAAUAGGUUUCCUCGAUUGUAUGCAUUGGGAGUGGAAGAAUUGAAUUGUCCUAUUGCUUGGGUUGGCCAAUUCAAGGGCCAUCAUAACAAGUCAACCAUCGUGCUAGAGGCUAUGGCGUCUUAUGACACAUGGAUUUAACAUGCAUUCUUCGGCACUCCUGGAUCAAACAACGAUAUCAACGUUCUUUGGUCUUCACCUCUGUUUGAUGAUGUUGUCAAUGGAUGGGCACCAUAAUUUCGAUACAAGGUAAAUGGUAAUAGGUAUGAGCUAGGUUACUACCUAACUGAUGGUAUUUAUCCUAGUUAGUCUACCUUUGUCAAAAAUUGUUCUCAUCCCGAUAGUGCAAAGAAGAAAUUAUUUUCGCAGAGGCAAGAGUCUUAUAGGAAGGAUAUGGAAAGAGCGUUCGGGAUGCUACAAGCUCAAUGGGCCAUUGUUAGAGGGCAUGCAAGACUUUGGCAUACCGAAGACCUCCAUUCAAUCAUGAUGACGUGCAUAAUUUUGCACAACAUGAUUGUGGAAGAUGAGUACAUCGAAAUUGAAGAAGAUUCAGACGAAGAUGUGGAUGAUGACCAACUAACACAUGCGUUAUUGCAAGAGAUGUUGAAUAUCUCGCUGCAACCACAUAUGAGACUUGACAUGAUACGGUCACAUUGAGUGAGUGUAUGAGACGUUUAAAUAGAAUUCAAGCUCCUCAAGGUUAUGACACACUCCAAAAGGAUUUGGUUAAGCAUGUAUGGCGCCGAGAAGGUGAACAUUGAUGAUGUUGGUUGAGUAUUUAUGUAAUAAUUUGAAGUAUACUAUGUUGGUAUUUUAUAGUAAUAAAUUUUAAGUGUUUUCUUGUGCAAAGUAUUUUAUGUAGUACGUUGGAAAAUUUAUUGAAUGGAGGUUGAAUUAUUGAAGGCAUCUAUUCUACAUCAAAGUGUGGAAUAAUAAGUACAAUAAUUAUUGAAGCUAUCUAGAUUAAUAGAAACAAUAAUUAAUAAGCCAUAAAUUUAAUACACACGACAAUUAAUAAAGUACAUAAACUUAAUACAAACGACAAUUAAUAAACCACAUAAACACCACCACCGCCCCUCUCGUCGCCGUUGCAGUUUUCAUGAAACUUUUCAAUGAUUUUAUCCCACAAAACCUUUUUAUUUUGAUUCGUGCCAAUUGUACCAUCUUCGCUAACAGAAACUCAUGUCAAGCAUAGAGCAACAUCUUCCUCACAGGUCCAAUUACAACCUUUAAUAUGCUCUCUUGCCAUGUUGAACAAUUUGGAAAUGGAAAGAAAUAGUAGAAAGAAAAAUUGGAAGAAUUGUAGGAGAAAAUUGAGUUUUGUGUGGAUGUUUAAACAAAUACAUAGGUAUUUAUAGAGUUUUUGGAUGAAUUUUGAGUUAAAUAUUUUUUUUUAAUUAUUUUAGCCGUUAGAUUUAAAUUUGGGACGUUAGAUCUUUUUUUUACCGUUAGUUUUGAUUAUAUUCGAUUUUAGCCGUUAAAUUCAAUGUAUUUCAAAAUUACAUUUAAAAAAAAAUUGAAUCUGGACCGUUAGAUCAACCAACGGGUCCGUAAAGCCCAGUCGUAGGAUGCAAAAAAGAGCCAUUGGGCAUUUGGCUUUUAGCCCAAAGAUUUGGAUUGGGUUGGGUUGGGUUGGGUUUGGGGUGGGGGGAAUGAGUGGGGUAAUUUGGCAAAUAGCCCAGGGUUGAGUGUGGUCUAACGAAGGGUUUGUGGGAGGUGAAAAUAAGUAUGUGGGUAGUAUCACCCAAAAUGUAAUUACAGAGAAGAUUCUAGAGUUAAGUUGUUUGGGUUAAAACUUGAACUUUGGGCUCAAGAAGGAGUUGGCCCAAAAGGAGGUCUGAAAAAGGGAAAAGCUCGAAGCCCAGCCAAAGCCCAGAAGGCAGAAAAGGCCUUUCUCGACUAGGUGUAGAUCAUUUGCACCACUUGCUCACCUGCCUAGAGACCAAGUGGUAUAGACCAGCCAGUUAAUCAGCCCAAAAGCACUUUACAGUGGCAGUACAAGUAAAUAACUGAUGAGUCACUACCCUUCAAGCUGCAUUCGGGAAAGAUUACUGCUACAGGAGGCCAAGCCGAAGUGUCUAUAAAAAGAAGAAAGAGAAAUCAGAGAUAAGGACACUCAAUCAAACAAACCAAUACAAGUAUAAACUCUGCUCAAGCCAGAUUUGCCUUCAAACGAAGCUGUAGCCAGCCCAAGCCUUCAUCCCUUUCAGGUUAAACCUUCAUCAAAAGCCUUUGUAAUAGCUCUGCUACCUUGUCUUAAGCUUGCUGUAGUAUCGAUUUUCUUUUGUAAACUCAUCUCCCUACCCCCCCUUUCUAAAGCUCUCAAACCCCUUGAUAAACCACAAAGAUAGGAAGUUGCAAGAUGAUCAACCUUGCCCGAAAAGGUUAAACCUUGCCCGACCCUCUUUUUGUUUUGUCUUUUCAUUCAUUAGCCUAGCAAUAUGUUGUAUACUUCCAGUUGUAUUCAAGUUAUUUCUAGUAAGAUGACGAUUAAAAGACUCUCUCAGUUCUUGAAUCCGAUUUGAAUAUGUCUUCACAGUUCAAACCAGAUCUAAGUUCUAAGCUCUCAGGCAUGUAAGAUUGAUCAUUCAAAAGUCUUUGGCCUCAAGGCAUAAAAAAUAACCUUAUGUGGACUUAACCCAUCCACGACAAGCUUUGAUAACAAGAAAUCUGAAGUUACUUGGGGCGCAAGUAAUCGAUCUAUCUCUUAGUUUUAUUUCUAUUAAAUUAUGAUUAUAGUAGAACGUUUAAGUAUAAAAGGAAUUCUGAUGGGAAGCCUCAAGGCCUAUAUCUAAGGCCCUACAAAGGCACCUAUUUGGGUUCAUUCUGCUCUGCGGGCUUGGAUAAUAAGAAGUAUAAUGGUUAUAACACUUCUGCAAACAAUAAAACAGACAUUGUAUAUUCGAGUACUGGGUUAGUUCUUGAUCAGAAGCCUCAAGGCCUACACCUAAGGCCUCACAAAGGCACAUGUCAUAACUAACACAGCCUCUCGGGUAUAUGUACAACUAAAUUCAACAUCCAUUUUACAUCUGCCAUGCUAAAGAUAGCAGUGGCACGCCUAAGCACUUAAAAGUUAAUCUUGAUUGUGAGCCUUAAGGCCUAUACCUAAGGCCUCACAAAGGCACCUUUCAAAGUUAACUCUGUCCUUCUCUUUCAGCCUUGCCCUACAAGCCUUGCCCGACAAGCCCGCCAGUGAAGUAGAAGCCCGACAGAAAGCAUCAACCGGCGCCGACCUCUCGGGGAGCUGUGUGCUCGUCGGCUAUAAGACAUCCCCGACGGAAAUUCUAGCCACGAACAUAGUUUUGGCAUGCUCGGUGGGACCUCAUGUGUUUUGAUCUUGCAUGUCCAAAAAGAAAAGCCAUAAACUUUGCAGAAAGAAUACGAAGGACGGUUCUUCUCAACCUUUGCUACAAAUGGCAAAUCAAUCAGGAAAUCCUUCUUCCCCAUCAGGACAGGUGGUCUUGGAAAGCCCAUCUUCAUGUGGAAAGUCGGAAGGAAGAGGAACUAAUGAGGAAUUACAAGCUACUAUGAUACAAGUAUUAAGGAGUAUGGAAAAAAUCUCUUUGGAAACCAAGGGGGAAGUCAGUAGACUGUGUACCUUAACAGGGAAUCUACAGAGAAGGUUAGAUCUGGAGUUUUCCACUCCAAAAGGUGCUCAGGGAAGUGGGAUGAGCCAAGUUACCAUCAGAAGUGAACUAGUUAUUCCCCUAUUUCCACUGUUAGAAGAAGAAAAGGAUAGGGGAAAGAAGAAAGUAGUUCUUGAAGGAAGUCAACCCGUGAUUAAACCAGUUCUGGAGAAAGAAUUUCCUAGCUUCCCAUUAUUAUCAUUUAAUAAUAGGAAGCAAAGCGAGUAAGAAAGGACGAAGUAUGGAAUGCCCAUAACAACAAGAGAGUCCAGCAGAAAAAAAGCUCCGCAACUUCGGAUAAACCUCUUCCUUAUAGGCCACCUCCGUUGGCUUAUAAGGGAGGAGGAGCCAACUGGAGAAAGCCUGAAUCAAAAAAGGAAGCAUUCGCGGGCAAUGACCGAAGCCCGAAGAACGAGUCUGCCCUUCUCUUCCAGAAUAAUAAUACAGCUACUCAACAACUGAGGGAGGAAUUGGCUGAAUUAAGGAGGACAGUGGCUCAAAAUGCUCAACCACGGACUCGUCCAAUGUUCAGGGUUACCUAUCAAAAACCUUAUCUUGAAUACGUUGAUGAGCAAAAUCCAUUUCCUCUCAACUUCAAGAUGCAUGCAUUCCCAACGUUCACAGGUAAAGACAACAGUGUGUCCUCCAGAGACCACAUUUUCAAAUUCUCCAAUCAUUGUGUGGCAUAUGAAGACAACCCAAACUACAAGUUAAGGUUGUUUGGGAAUUCAUUGGCAGGACUAGCAUCUCAGUGGUAUUCUCUAUUACCCCCUAACUCUAUUGCCAACUGGGGCCAGAUGGAGAUGGCUUUCCAUGAACAAUUUUACAGAAUAGAACCAGAAAUGACUAUUAAUGAUCUGGUUAAAGUCAAACAAUACGAACAUGAGUCCACAGAGGACUUCAUGAUGACGUUCAGGAAGACGAGGAUGAGAUGCCAAUUCCCUGUUAACCAAGCUCAGCUCAUAUCAAUUGCUCAAAAGGCUCUGAGAUUACCUUUGAGGAAAAGACUUUAUGAUACACAAUUUAACGAGCUACAAGAAUUGGUGAUUGUUGCCACAAAGUAUGAAAGACUGUUGCUAGAAGAGCAGCAAGUGAAGCAUACUUCCAAAGCUCCUCCCUUCUACAAAAACAAAGCUGCAAUUCAUCGUGUGGAGAUAGGAGAAAUCGGGCCAGAACAUAAAGAUGGCCAUGACUAACAGGAAGUUGAGGUGUGUGCUGCUGAGAUGACCAUGCCUUUCAAACCAUUGAUGGUGAAAGGAUUAGUUCAACCCAUCAAAGACCAGAAAAUUGUGAUGAACGAUGGAGGCUUCGUCCCUAUGAAACCUCCCAAGUACCAGAGUUAUUCGUUCGAUCUGGCCAAGGCACCUGAGAUUUAUGAAGAACUGGUGCGGGCAAGAGUAAUUUUGCCCGACAGUACUAAAAAGAUGCCCAAGCCAGAAGAGCUGAGGGGGAAGAAGUAUUGUAAGUUACACUAUACCUUCAACCAUUCUAUAACCAAUUGUGUCCAGUUCAGAGACUGGAUACAAGACCUUAUAGUGAAGGGAAAACUGUUACUUGACAAGCCCCAAGCUAGUAUGAUGGUUGAUACCAAUCCUUUCCCAGAAGCCCCUAUCAACACGAUCAAUCUAAUUUGGGUGGGGAAGCCAGGGUCAUCAGUUGUUACGACAGAAGAAAUAGGUGGAUCCCAGGUUGUCCCAACACACUUGCUCAAAUAAAAGUACCAUAAGGGGGACCAAGGGAUCAUGAUCAUGUCCCAAAAUUGGUAUUAGUGAGGGAAGCAGAAGAAAGAAGAAAAUAAAUAAGGGGGCAAAGAGUUGCCCGAAAUAAAGUUCAGACAAGAACCAGAAGCAAAGCAAGCAAAAGACAAAAGACAAAAUACAUGUUCAUUCUGCUAAAAGAAGGGUUACAAAUGAUUCUAGUCUAAUAAUUUUACAUCUUUACUCAGGGUGAUUAUUUGAGAAUGAUAUGUUUGCAUAAUGGCAAAAAUCCUACUAGGUUCAGCCAAAACAGUAUAGCUAUUUGCAAGUUGCGACCUCGUAUGCUCUAGUUCCGAGUUUGACUUCUUUACUUCUUCGAUUUGAUUUUUGAGGGUGCCAAGAAGAGUUGUUUGCUCAGCUUUAAGAACAACCAGUCGUUCCUCUAGCGUCUAGAUUUCAGAAGUCACCACUCCGAUCCUUUCUUUUGUCAGCAAACCAUCAUCCAUCAAUCUUUCGACCUGAGCAGAAGUACUUGAUUCUUUCUCCUGGAAACAUCUUACACGAUUGGCUUGUCUUUCAGCUCUCUUAUGUUGAUCCCGGAGAGCCUUCAGGUUCUCGAAGAAAGAGAGAAAUGAAUCAUGUUGAGUUUUGGAUAGCUGACUGGCUUUAAACAGCUCCAUUGUAACCUUCUCUAUAUCAUGAAGAGCCUUGAGGCUGAACAAAGCUGAGAAGUCCUUCCUAGCCCAUUCUUGGAAAGCUUGUUGUUGCUCUCGAAGACCGAAAGAUACGACAAUUCUUCAAAAAGUUCGGGCAACUUAGCAGUUUUUGAAAAUAAAGAAGAAGGAGGAGGAUUUUGCACUCCAGUUUCCUCUAAUGAAGUAGUACCUACUGAUGGGGCAGUUUCUGUCUUCCCAGUCUUCUCAAUUCUAGGAUGGGAAAUCCCGGCACUUCCAAAAGUUAAAUGAGGCCGGGGGAGCAUUGACUUACGAACCAAGCGAGGAGGAGAAGCUUCUUCCAGAACUUGCUGCAAAGACCAAAGAAGACCAGAUUAAGACAAAAAUACAGUUUGAAGCAAAAUAAAGCUUUGGGAAGAAGAAAUAUACCUGAUUGAGCCCUGGGGCUUCACAAGGAAGAGUACCAAUUCUUGGUUGAGGGGAAGACUCUCUACCACUGACAAGGGAAGAAAAAGCUGCGCCUGAACCUUCGCCAAUGCCCUAGAAGUAUCCAGGGAUAGCAACAAUUGUUAGUAAGCAGAUUGUAAGAGGAAAACAAGAAGAAAAUACCUCCAUACCUGAGUUUGACCUCGAGAAGAAGGAGGUUCAUCAAUGGUAACCGUCAGGCAAGCAAACACCUGCAAAACCGCUACCCCUGAGGUCACAGGAAUCUCAGGGACUAUGGGUUCAUCACAUAUUGCCACUGACGGUUGGGGUGGUUCAUAUGAUGGUGGGGGGCUGCAAGAAAUAUGAAUAGAAGUUAAUAUGGAAGUAAUGCACAGAAAGUCAAUGUAAGGAUAGUUACUCACCAAAUUACUAUCCUCAUUCACAAAGUGCAACAUAACUCAUGUGGAUGGAUCAAAUUGAGAAGAUGGAGUUACCUCUAGGGAAGAAGGAGAAAUAAAAGACUUUAAAGGAGAACCUUGACUAGGCAAGGGGGCAGAUACCUCGACCUGGAUGAAGAUAGAAGAAGAGAAAGGUUCAGGCAUUAGCUCCAGAGACUAAAUUUGCCCAAGGUUCGAGAAAGAAGGGAAUGCACCUCUGAAGAAUUAACCCGGGGAGGAGAGAGGCUUGUUUCUCGGGCAAGUGAUGAAGAGGCCUCGGGCGGACGGAGCUUUUCCUCUCUUGCAGCCUGACUCAAGUAAUCAUGCUCAAGGUUUUGUGGAAGCAAGAAAGAUUAUGCAGACAUAAACAUAAACUAUACCUCAAGUUCUUUGAGGGUGAUAUUUCGCAAUUCUUCAGCCUUUUUGUGCAUUUCAACUCCUAAUGGUUCCUCCCUAGAAGCAAUGGCUGGUUUCUUAGAUGCUUGAGGUCCUGUUUUCAAGGAAAACAAGGGUAAUUAGAUAAAGAAGAAGGGUGGCAAUCUGAUAAAGAAGAACAAACACUUACUUGAAGAUUUUUGCUUCUUUCUGCAUGCCUCAGAAACUGGAGCAAAUAAGGCUGAAGACUUGAGAGUUUGGACGGUUCUUGUUCUCUUACUCUUUCUAGUAAGAAUUGGUCAUUUAGUCUUGGGUGGGGAUGCAGGAUCAAAAUCUGAGGUUUCGACCACAACAGCUUUCCUUCGCUUAGACACUUGGGUGGUGACUUCAUGCGCUUCUUCUUCAGCCCCUAAAUCUUCGGAAACAUCCCCACCUUCUCCAGCUUCUCGUCUUUCAGCCUCUGCCGCAGCUCCAUGAAGAACUGCUGCAUCAGCUGAGUCAUCCUUAGACUCAAUGGGUAUCGAUUCAACAUCCACUUGGGCUGCAGGAUCAGGCAAGGUAAAAUUUAAAGGGCUUCAGAAAGGGAUUGAGAAUCAAGAUAUGAAGAAAAAAAAAACCUAUCAGAAGUAACCGAUUCUUCUCCUGGAUCAUCUCCUUCUAAUUUUCAAGUUCGCCCGAACUGGGGUAUGAUUUGAGAGAAAGUUGACUGAAGAGGCGAUCAUGAGUCUCUCUCAAGUCUCCUCCAUAUUUUUUUGUCCAUUUGUCUUCCCACCAAAAAGAGAAGAGUGAAGUGCAUUCAAAAUUGAGAAAGAUGGACUUCCGGGCAGCCUGACUCAUGACUUCAAGACUACGUCGGUCACCUCGGAAGGAGAUGAUAAAUGAAAGGAAGUGCCACAAUGAACAGAGUCGAAAAACGGGAUGGGAAUGGCUUGUCUAAAGCCUAACUGCCUGCUGCAAAAGUUAGGGUGAUACACCUCCAACCUCGAUCAUAUCAAUUGCCUCAAACUCCCCAGGCCAUGUCUCUCGGUUGAAUACAACUAAUAAAUGUUUCCCUACAAAAGGAGGUGGCAUCUUCCCCAGGAGCAUCUUGAAAGGCUUGGUAAAAAAACCAAGGAUAUCUCCUCAAGACUGACCCGCCCCAUUCCAAGUCUGAUCGAGUCCUACAAACUUCGAAGAAGUAAAAGCAGGCAAAAGUGGAAUGAUCGGUAUGAGCAGCUUCAGCUAGGAUUCGGGCAGGGCCAUACCUUCUGGGAACUCUAAGUUAGCAGCCCGAAACUCUGGAAAGUACCAUUGAAGCCAUGUUUGUAUCAUCCAUAUGGGUCCAUUCAGGUUAGUCUCAAAUGGCUCGCCUUGAGUCAUUUUGAAAAGAUGAUAAAGAUGAGAAAGAAGGAAUGAACCUGUAGCUACAUCAUCAAAGUUAUGAAGAGCUUCCACCAAGGGGAUCCAUUCAACCUUCACUCUUUUAGACUUAUUGGGGAAGACAUGUUUGUUGAGCCAGUAUAAGAGGAAAUACAUGUGCUCUUGAUCUUUAUCAACAUGAGAAGAAUCUGCUCCAAAAUUCUCCUUUACGAAAGGGAUAAAUCCCUUGAAGGAGGUCCUGUAACGCUUGAAGGUUGCAGCAUUAUAUUCCAAGGAAAGGAAAGAGGCGGAUGAACUUGAGCUUUCAGCAAUUGAAGGGGGAGCCCAGUCUUGAGUAACAUCCAUUAUCCUGCCCGAUGGCCUUAGCCCGAAGACCUGGGCCAUAUCAAGAACAGUCGGAGACAUGGGACCCAUACGGAAGUCAAAAGUGUUUGUGCCCGAAUUCCAGAAAAGAAGAGAAGAAGCAAGCAGUUCGGGCUUGGGAAUAAUGGUAGUUUUUUAGAGCAUUAUCAAUUCAUAAAUGCCAUUAUUCAUCCAUUUCUUCUUAAAAAUUGGCUCUAGUUCAUCAACCCACUGAACCUAAGCCAGAUCGUUCAUCAAAGGAAAGCCUCGACGAUAUGACGACCACUUGGAUGAACAAAUGCCCGACUUAGCCAAAAAGGGAUUUGGGGAAAACCAAUUGUCCCUGGGCAUAUUGUCCGCUAUCACUGCAGGGACCUGGGAAAUCCAUGCGGGACCCAACGAUUGUACCCCAUGCACUUGCACUUCAAAGAAAAGCUCAGAAUAUAAACCUGCCCGAAGACGAUGCAGUCCGUUGAGUAAACGGCGCAAAGUGGCGAUGCCUUCGCCAGAUUCAUAGGAUAAAUGGAUUUGGCUGGAUCCUGAAGCCAUUUGAUAAAGUUUGGAAGAUGACCGACAAGGAAGACGACAAGGGUAGAUGAUGUCGGGCAAAGAGCAAAAGAGAGCUAAAAGAUUUAGAAAAGUAAAACGUCUGGGAAGUUAGGAAAUUUUCAAUUACAGAGGAAUUUCGUGCUAAGAAUGCAGAGGAUUCGUGAGUUAGUGGAAUGACUGCAGGAAAGUGAUGAUUAUCUUUGAAAAGUGUGCGAAUCCCGGGAGAGAGAGACGUGGGUAUUAAUGGGAAGCUUUUCAAUCAAUAUUGGCGCCUGGAAUUCCAGUCUGAAUAUUGAUUGAAGGGGGCACUGUUUGGGUAAAACUUGAACUUUGGGCUCAACAAGGAGUUGGCCUAAAAGGAGGUCUGAAAAGGGGAAAAGCCCGAAGCCCAGCCAAAGCCCAGAAGGCAGAAAAGCCCUUUCCCGACUAGGUGCAGAUCAUUUGCACCACUUGCUCACCUGCCUAGAGACCAAGUGGUAUAGACCAGCUAGCUAAUCAGCCUAAAAGCACUUUACAGUGGUAAUAUAAGUAAAUAGCUGAUGAGUCACUACCUUUCAAGCUGCAUUCGGGCGAUUACUGCUACAUGAGGCCAAGCCGAAGUGUCUAUAAAAGAAGAAAGAGAAAUCAGAGAUAAGGACACUCAAUCAAACAAACAAAUACAAGCACAAACUCUGCUCAAGCCAGAUUUGCCUUCAAACGAAGCUGUAGUCAGCCCAAGCCUUCAUCCAUUUCGGGAUAAACCCUCAUCAAAAGCCUUUGUAAUAGCUCUGCUACCUUGUCCUAAGCUUGCUGUAGUAUCGAUUUCUUUCUGUAAACUCAUCUCCCUACCCUCUUUCUAAAGCUCUCAAACCACUUGAUAAACCACAAAGAUAGGAAGUUGCAAGACGAUCAGCCUUGCCCGACAAGGUUAAACCUUGCCCGACCCUCUUUGUUUUUUACUUUUCAUUCAUUAGCCUAGCAAUAUGUUGUAUACUUCCAGUUGUAUUCAAGUUAUUUCUAAUAAGAUGACGAUUAAAAGACUCUCUCAGUUCUUGAAUCCGAUUUGAAUAUGUCUUCACAGUUCAAAUCAGAUCUAAGUUCUAAGCUCUCAGGCAUGUAAGAUUGAUCAUUCAAAAGUCCUUGGCCUUAAGGCAUAAAAAAGAACCUUAUGUGGACUUAACCCAUCCACGACAAGCUUUGAUAACAAGAAGUUCGAAGUUACUUGGGGUGCAAGUAAUCGAUCAAUCUCUUAGUUUUAUUUCUAUUAUAUUAUUAUUAUAGUAGAACGUUUGAGUAUAAAAGGAAUUCUGAUGGGAAGCCUCAAGGCCUAUAUCUAAGGCCCUAUAAAGGCACCUAUUUGGGUUCAUUCUACUCUGCAGGCUCGGAUAAUCAGAAGUAUAAUGGUUAUAACACUUCUGCAAACAAUAAAAUAGACAUCGUAUAUUCGAGUACUGGGUUAGUUCUUGAUCGGAAGCCUCAAGGCCUACACCUAAGGCCCCACAAAGGCACCUGUCAUAACUAACACAGCCUCUCGGGUAUAUGUACAACUAAAUUCAACAUCCAUUUUACAUCUGCCAUGCUAAAGAUGGCAGUGGCACGCCUAAGCACUUAAAAGUUAAUCUUGAUUGUGAGCCUCAAGGCCUAUACCUAAGGCCCCACAAAGGCACCUUUCAAAGUUAACUCUGUCCUUCUCUUUCAGCCUUGCCCUACAAGCCUUGCCCGGCAAGCCCGCCAGUGAAGCAGAAGCCCGACAGAAAGCAUCAACCGGCGUCGACCUCUCGGGGAGCUGUGUGCUCGUCGGCUAAGAGACAUCCCCGACGGAAAUUCUAGCCACGAACAUAAGUUACCGGUGAUGUAGCUAAUGACCGAUCCAAAGUGAGUAAUCCAGGUUGAUAGGUUUAGGGAUGGGUUCGUUUUCUUUGGUUUUGUGUUUGGGGUUAUCAAUUUGAGAGGGUAUGAAAGAGUGGGAGCCAUCAACGAAUUGCCAUAAAUCAUUACCCAUGAGAAAGGGUUUGAUUUGGCAGAGCCUGGAGAAGAUUAUGGAGUUUUUCUUUUUAAUACAUUUAUAUUAUUUGCGCUGAGGGAUAAGAGAUUGAAUUAAAAUUUACAAUGAGCUAAGUCAUAAUAAUUUUAUUUGAAUCUUUCAUUUAUAGUUAGUGAUAAGAAAUAUCACUAAACUGUAAUAUUAAGUGGCAGAAAAUUCUCAAGUUAAGAAUUAUAUUCUACCAAAUGUUGGUGUAGUAAAGUUUUUCUCCCUGUUAUUAUUGUUGGAGUAAGAUUCUUUCCCUUUCUAGUUUCCCUUCCAUUCCCUCCCUUCUUAUUUGAACAGUUACGGUUAAGCCAUGUAAACGUUUUGUGUUAAUUUUUUUAAUAGCCAGAAGAAGGCAAAAAAUAAUUUGUGAGAAAGGAAGGAAGGGAAUGAGAAUAGAUUGGAGAGAGAAUUCUAUUCCAUUAUUGUUUGUGAAAAGGAAGAAACUGAAAAUGAUUAGAUUUUUAGUACAAUAAUGCACACAUAAACAGGAACUGGCUUUGUAGGAAUUAAAGCAAUUUGGUGGAGAGCGGACACCACAUACACUACAAGAACUUUAGCCAUAGCAACACCCUUUGCAUUGGUGUGGAUUUAAGAUGAGAGCACUGACUCCGAUGGCAAUCAUCAGUAGCCACCAUGUAGCCACUGAAUAAGAAUCCAUGUCCAUUGUAAAAAACGCCACUAUUUCUACGUCCGUGUAAAAAGGAAUAGUACAAGUCUCAUUAUAUUCAAUCUUUUUGUUUAUUUAUUUGUAAUUAAAAAUAGCAAGUAAAUCUUGUCGGAGAAAAUGUCCUUUUCGCAUUAGUGUCCAGAUUGCCCUCUUUUUUUUUCUUUUUUUUUUUUUUUUUUUUUUUUCAGAAGGGCGCCCACUGAGCACCCAUUGCAUUGUCUAAUCCCAUUAUUAGUGUCAGUGGCUUUUGAUAAAAUUUAAUAUUUUUGCAAUCAAGCCUUCCAAAACAAACUUGCAAUCAAGUCCUACAAUUUCAUAGUAUACUUCCAUCCAUCUUCCAUCGGUAGUGUUCUUACACAACACGGGCAAAAUUAUAAAUUAAAACUAAUAAAAACUUGUAAGAUAAUAUCACAUAAUCAUACUAAAUUUAAAAUAGUAUAAAAACAACUAAAACUAAUUAAAAUCUACCUCCAUAAGAACUUCAUAGUUCAUAUUUGAAUAAAUCACUUAAGAUCCGAUUGUUAAAUCAUCUUUUGCACUUCUUUCUUUCUGUCAAAAAGGUUAACAAUGCAAAAAAACCACAAAUAAACAUCAUAAUUUACCUAAAAGAGCAAAGAAAAUUAAAUUUUUAGUCAUAAUGAAAAAAUAAAAGGAAAAUGAUUAUAGCCAAAAUGGAAUAGUUAUGCCUCUCUGUGCAUCCUCCUCAAUGCCAAACCUUUUUGUACUCAACACUUUUCACUACAGUACAACAAUCCAUCGUAUGAAUUAACAAAAAAUUGCAUGCAGAGGAGAUGUAACAACUCGUCCCUAAUUUUACAAUUUUAUAAAUUUUAAAAAUGUGAAUUUACGAGAAUAUCCUAGAGGCGAGGGUAUUGAUUUUUGUUGACCACUAGUUCAUGACGCGUAUGAACUAUUAACUUACCGUAUUCCAAAAGUAUUUGGCAGUGCAAACGCGUAGACGCACGCAAAAUUGAAUUUGGAAGGUACGUGGUAAGGACUGUUUAUUAUUUUAUUCAUUUCUCAUAAAUAUUCUUAUAUUGUUUUAAUAGUUUGUUGUUAGGAAAAAGGGGGGAAGAAGAAAGAAGCAAGGAGGAAGGAAAAAGGAGAAAAAAAAAGGGGAUUGGGCAAAGAUGCCCAAUCGGAAAAUAGAGAGAGACAAGAGGAACGAAUUAGAAAAGGAGGGAGGAGAGCCUGCCCAAUGAGAAGAGAGGAAAGGAAAGGGAAGGAGAGGAGAUGAGGGGCACAGGAUCAUGGAUCCCUCACGCAGGAUCAUGACUUGACCCGAUCACCACGUUGGUUUUCGACGAAAUUCCGUCUCUCUAGUUGGUGUUUCUCGACCGUCCACCAUUCCCAAACAAUUAUUCGCCCUUCCUCCUUUAAAUUUCAACCUUAAAGGGACGAGAUUCGAAUUGGUUUCGUGAUGAACAAACCCACGGGUCCGAAGAGCAUUCGUCGGUGAUCCACCUUAUUCUGAAACGUUUACCUUCAAUUAGCACCACCAAAACACUGAUUUGGAACCCAGGAACAAUGCCCAAUCCUUUGUUGGGGCGUCGAGGUUCGAUUUGGCAGUGAUUCAAAGAACACUCAUAAUAGGGUUCCGACGGGUUUUAGAGAAAUUAGGGCCUUUCCUGGCCGAAUUGGCCUUGGUCGCAAGUAUGAAACUUACUGUACUCAUUGAGAUCUUCAUUCUUAUACAUUUUGGUAAUUUUUGGAAAUAGUUGAAUUUUUCGGCGAGUCGGGGCGCCCGACCACCACCCAUGGCAGUGCAUUGCCAAGGGGCCAUUGAUGUUAUUCUUAGGCUAAAUUAGAUGCCUUGAGCUCAGUUUUGGUAAUUGUAUGACGUAGGUUGAUUGUUGGAACCUAAAUUCUCUAUGUUACAUUAAUAGGUUAUUAUAUGAAUCGACAAUCUGACCGUUGGAUCAUCAUUAAACUUUAAUAGAUUAUUAUUCGUAAUAUUUGAUGAAUGUAGGAACUUACGGAUCAGAAAUCUGUCGUACGGAUCUUCCUGAAUUGGAUUUUUAAGUUCAUAAAAUAAAACGUUAACCGACACUUGAAUUCUACUACAAUUGGCAGAGAUCCAACCGUUGGAUCAUGAUGAAACCUUAGGACGUUGUUCUAGAAACAUAAUGUGGAUCCUUGUAAGUAACAGAUCGGAAAUCCGUGCUGCAGAUCUUCCUAAUUGAAUUACGUAAGGAUGUUUUUUAUGUAAAUUAUGUAUUCUAUCGGUAAAAACUCUGAGAUUCCACAAACGGUUAUAAAUUCCACAAACGGUUAUAAAUUCUAUCAUGUGUGUGUAUAUAUAUAUAUAUAUAUAUAUAUAUCGGUAAAAACUCUGAGAUUCCACAAAUGGUUAUAAAUUGAUAAUUCCACAAAAGGUUAUAAAUUCUAUCGUGUGUGUAUAUAUAUAUGAUUGAUAAUUCCACAAGCGGUUAUAAAUUGAUUAUUGCAUAUAAUUACUGUGAAGGCUUUGAAGUAUUAAUGCGAACUACAAAUGACUUGAUCCCUGUUUAGGGUACGUAGGCAGUCUAACGAGACGUUAGAUGCAGCCAUCAAGAAGUGAGAUUAAAUAAUUGUGACAAUAGCCUUGUUUAGGGAAUUGAGUAAUGUGAGGGACAUUGGUGGUAAAUGUGAGAUUUAACCUUAUGAUUUGGUGGUUAAAUGUUGGUCAUAAAUCAAUGUGUGAAAAAUAAAGAAUUUGAGGUAAGGAAACGUAAGUCAGGAUAGUUAAUUAAACUAGUGUCUAGUUUGGCUUAUCACCGAUAAUUAUUCUCGAAAAUAAAUAGUUUGGGAGUAGGGAGUUACAGCUUAUGCAUUUUUAUGCCAUAUUAUAUAUAUAUAUAUAUAUACACACGUAUAUAAUUGAAAAUGCUAUAACAUGGUUGAGUAUUAGAUUGCAUCAUGGUUUAUCUAUAUGUAUAUUACCUGCACAUAAUUAUUGUGAACGUUUUGAAGUGUAAAGGUGAACGCAGGACACCCAGGUAAGUUCAGGUGAGUUUAUAGUAUUAGUUGAAAUGAUGGAGUUAUGGAAUGACUACAUGUAUCUUUUAGGCAACUCGGACCUUGUCGUACAGGUUGCAAUGAUAGGUAACUCCGACACUGUCUUACAGGUUGCCCAUGAGUCAUAUAUGUUACAAUAGAUGCAGUUAGAGCUCAUAAACUUGCACCCUGGUGUUAGUGUUCCCGCCUGUGGCCACGUGAUGUUUACCUCCCGCACCUUACGCUCACCUUGGAUCUAAGGUAGGUGCACAGUCUUGUUGUACAGACCACUAUAGGUAGUUUCGACUCAUAGGUGACCCGUGUUUAUUCGCACAAUCUUCACGUGAUCGUAGCACUUAAGCGUACUUAUUUACACCCAGUCCUGUCGUACAGACCACUAUGGUGGUUUCGACUCGUGUAUAGGGAUAUGUGAUGAGAUAUGGGUUCAGUCGUAUAGGCCACAAGAGGUGGAUCCGGCUGACAUAUUACAGGGACAUGUGAUGAGAUAUGGAUAAGUCAUACAGGUCACCAUAGGUGACUCCGACUUAUGUGCUAGCGUUGAUUGAUGAGAUAUGGAUAAGUCGUACAUGUCACUGUAAGUGACUCCGACUUAUGUGCUAGCGUUGAUUGAUGAGAUAUGGAUAAGUCGUACAGGUCACUAUAGGUGACUCCGACUUAUGUGCUAGCAUUGAUUGAUGAGAUAUGGGUGCAGUUGUACAGGUCACAUUAGAUGGCUCCGACUUGCGUGCUAACAUAGAUUAUUGAGCACAUGAUUAAUUAUAUUACUGAUGAGUUGCUGUGUUGUGGUAUAGUUAUGGAAUUAUAUAUUUUUGAUUUCAUAUUGAUACAUGAUAUAAUUUUCUAGAAACUAUACAGGUGUUGCAUUGAGGGGUUAUAACUUUUUAGAAGGCUUCUAUUGAAAAUUUUAUUUCUAGGGCCACUCACCCUUGUUUUGUUUCCACCCUCCAGGUUUUAUUAUCUGAGCUUUCUUAUCAUCGAGGAUUUGUGGUAAAUCUUAGAAUUGGAGAUUUCUUUCGAGGGUAUGAUUCUUAAUCCACUUUACUGUACUUACUUAUGCUCUAAUGUCACGUGUGAAGUUGGUUCAUUCCCGCUUACCAGCACACUCUGGUUUUUAGGCACCCUUAGGUUUAAAUUUAUUCACAUUUUUCACAUUAUCAUACUUUAUGGUUUCGUCACCUUCCAGGUGUCAGCCAACACAGCUUGAUUCGGAGUCCUAGUGGACAUCUCGGGUCGAAGUGUGUCAAGAGACCCAAGCGAGAUCUGAAAAUAUACAUUCAGAUCUUAGAAUAUAUGAACUCAAAGUGGGAAAAAACUCGGACCUGAUUUGAUACAAAGAAGGGAGAGAGAGACCAUGAUGCAUGAGCAGUGUUGGCGAUGAUGGGUAACUGAUAGGAACAUGGAAAGGAUGGGAUUGAAAGAAAUGAGCUUUAAGGUUCAGAUUGAGGUUUGAAAAGAAAGCUAAAAGCCUAAUGAAAAAAACAAAACAGAAUAGAAAAGCCGGUGAUGGACGUCGGAUGCCCAAGCCGCCGACUCUCAAAAUGGAAAACUGAAUGAAAGCAAAAUCAGAUAUGAAAUUGAGGAAAAGGAAAGAGCUCUCACAAAGAGAGAGAGAGAGAGAGAGAGAGAGAGAGAGAGAGAGAGAGAGAGAGAGAGAGAGAGAGAGAGAGAGAGAGAGAAGCUCCCACAAAGGGAGAGAAGAGCUCUCACAAACAGGAGAGAAAAACUCUCACCAAUUCCUCUGUAAUCCAAAAUAAAACAAAGGGGAGAGAGAACUUUAUCUCUGAAGGAAAAACACAAGAGGAAGAGGAAAAAACGAAGAGAGUUGUGACGGUGAAAACAAAGAGAUAGAGGAAAGUAAAAGAAAGAGAGAGAGGGGGGAAAAACAAAGGAGAAAAAGGAAAAUGAAGAGAAAGAGAGUGAGCUGAUUAGAUUUUGGCACAAUAUAAUAACAAUUAAAAAACUUAAUAAUUAUUAUUUUGACAUUAAAAGAAUCUAAUAAUUAUUAUUUUGCAUGUAUAAAGCAAAAUAAUGAAUUUAUAGGUUAUAAAUGUGAAGAAUGACACUAUCAUCGGUGUCGGAAAACCUAAAGCACACCAAACAUACACAACGGUGCAACUGACUCUCAAAAAGACAUUGAUAAUGAACGGUGUCCCUAAAACAGUGUCCUAUGGCCUGUUUUCUAAUAGUGAUAGAUUGGCCAUUAAGAUUCAAGGUAGGAAUUUUACGGAAAGGGUUCCUCUUCAGAUCCCUUCCUCCUAAUCCAUCAAAUCAGGGGAUUUGUGUCGUUGAAAUUUGAUCUAACGACUGAAAUUAUUAUAACUUUUAAAGUGAGUCCCUGUUUGUAGUCAUUUAAUCAAAUUUCAACAGCACGGAUCUCUGAUUUGAUGGAUUAUGAAGAAGGGAUCCGCAAAGCAUCCCUUUCCAAAUUUUAUAAUUGUGACCCAUAAAACAUGUUAAAUUAGAAUUGUUUAUCCACAUUUUCCAUGUCCCUCACAUGCCUUAUAAUUAGUCGGUGAGACUGUAUGACCUACUUUAGUUUGGAACUUCUGGUGUAAUUUCCCUUCACUCACUUUUGUCACCAACAUUAUUAUGAUUAUUUAAUUUCAACUCCCAUAAAAAGCCACCUUCAUCUGCUUUCCCUUCAACCACUAGCCAGAACCCCAUUUUCUCUUCCUCUCUUUACUCUCUUUCCCGAAAAGCACUUAAUUAAAAAGCCACUUCUCCAUCUUUCAGCUUGGAAUUAAGCAGCUGAUCCAAUGGCAAAGCAGAUGCAGAUGAGAUUGUUGUGUUCUUGGACUGAGGUUGCACCUGCCCUUUUGAUAUCUCACAACAAGACUUCAACUUGUCCUGAAUUGGAGACAAUAACUGAAGACUGGGAGCUGGAGGCUGAGGAGAAAGACUUGCAGGACUACAAAAAUAAAAUGUUAGAAGUUUGUGGAUUCUAAUGAAUUUUCAGGGUUCUCAUGUCCUGAUUAUUUAUAGUUUUCAGUUUUUUGUGUGAAUUUGUAUAAGUUUGUGGACUUCGUUGGAUUAGUCAACAGAAUUAUGUAGUUUCAAUGGGCUUCCAUUCCAUCUUAUAUCUUAUGAAAAGGAAAAAAAAAUGAUGCCUUUGUAUUUCUAGUUGUGUAAUUAUUGAUCAAAGAUGAUGAUUUCUGCUAUGCUGUGAAACCAAAGAGAUGUUAAACAUUCCUAGGGCACACUCAAGACUCACUCCUUGAUGAAAUCAAUUUUAAGUUUGGCUGUACAUGCCAAUGCCAUAGGUGAUUCUUAAUAGAGAAAUGAUCAACCAUAGACAGAUCCACACUGAAUUGACAGUAUUUCGUGUGGUUAUGAUUGUCA
rnacentral:lncRNA from 1 species